CGCGGCCUAUCAGCUUGUUGGUGAGGUAAUGGCUUACCAAGGCGACGACGGGUAGCCGGCCUGAGAGGGCGACCGGCCACACUGGGACUGAGACACGGCCCAGACUCCUACGGGAGGCAGCAGUGGGGAAUAUUGCACAAUGGGGGAAACCCUGAUGCAGCGACGCCGCGUGCGGGAUGAAGGCCUUCGGGUUGUAAACCGCUUUCAGCAGGGACGAAAGUGACGGUACCUGCAGAAGAAGCACCGGCUAACUACGUGCCAGCAGCCGCGGUAAUACGUAGGGUGCAAGCGUUGUCCGGAAUUAUUGGGCGUAAAGAGUUCGUAGGCGGCUUGUCGCGUCCGUUGUGAAAGCUUGGGGCUCAACCCCAAGUCUGCAGUGGAUACGGGCAGGCUAGAGUCAGGUAGGGGAGAACGGAAUUCCUGGUGUAGCGGUGAAAUGCGCAGAUAUCAGGAGGAACACCGGUGGCGAAGGCGGAUCUCUGGGCCAUUACUGACGCUGAGGAGCGAAAGCGUGGGGAGCGAACAGGAUUAGAUACCCUGGUAGUCCACGCCGUAAACGGUGGGAACUAGGUGUUGGCGACAUUCCACGUCGUCGGUGUCGCAGCUAACGCAUUAAGUUCCCCGCCUGGGGAGUACGG
rnacentral:rRNA from 1 species